UACGUAGGUGGCAAGCGUUGUCCGGAAUUAUUGGGCGUAAAGCGCGCGCAGGCGGUUCCUUAAGUCUGAUGUGAAAGCCCACGGCUCAACCGUGGAGGGUCAUUGGAAACUGGGGAACUUGAGUGCAGGAGAGAAGAGUGGAAUUCCACGUGUAGCGGUGAAAUGUGUAGAGAUGUGGAGGAACACCAGUGGCGAAGGCGACUCUUUGGCCUGUAACUGACACUGAGGCGCGAAAGCGUGGGGAGCAAACAGG
rnacentral:rRNA from 1 species